rnacentral:rRNA from 1 species
CCUACGGGAGGCAGCAGUCGGGAAUUUUGCUCAAUGGGGGAAACCCUGAAGCAGCAACGCCGCGUGAGGGAUGAAGGCCUUCGGGUUGUAAACCUCUUUUGCCAGGGACGAUGAUGACGGUACCUGGCGAAUAAGCCACGGCUAACUACGUGCCAGCAGCCGCGGUAAUACGUAGGUGGCAAGCGUUGUCCGGAUUUACUGGGCGUAAAGAGCGCGCAGGCGGUCUUGUAAGUCGAAUGUGAAAGCCCCCGGCUCAACUGGGGAGGGUCAUUCGAUACUGCUUGACUAGAAGGCAGGAGAGGGAAGUGGAAUUCCGGGUGUAGUGGUGAAAUGCGUAGAUAUCCGGAGGAACACCAGUGGCGAAGGCGACUUUCUGGCCUGUUCUUGACGCUGAGGCGCGAAAGCUAGGGGAGCAAACGGGAUUAGAUACCCUUGUAGUC